UGGCGAACGGGUGAGUAACACGUGGGCAACCUGCCAAANAGGGGGAUAACACUUGGAAACAGGUGCUAAUACCGCAUAACCAUAGUUACCGCAUGGUAACUAUGUAAAAGGUGGCUAUACUACCGCUUUUGGAUGGGCCCGCGGCGCAUUAGCUAGUUGGUAGGGUAAAGGCUUACCAAGGCAAUGAUGCGUAGCCGAAUUGAGAGGUUGAUCGGCCACAUUGGGACUGAGACACGGCCCAAACUCCUACGGGAGGCAGCAG
rnacentral:rRNA from 1 species